rnacentral:rRNA from 1 species
CACGUCGGGGGCGAGCGUUAUCCGGAUUUAUUGGGCGUAAAGGGCACGCAGGCGGUCGUGUAAGUUUGGGGUUACAGCUCCCGGCUCAACUGGGAGAGCGCCUUGAAGACUGCAGGACUUGAGGGCCACAGAGGGACACGGAAUUCCGGGUGUAGUGGUGAAAUGCGUAGAUAUCCGGAGGAACACCAAAGGCGAAGGCAGUGUCCUGGGUGGUACCUGACGCUCAGGUGCGAAAGCUAGGGGAGCGAACGGG